rnacentral:rRNA from 1 species
CUGGUUGAUCCUGCCAGAGGUCACUGCUAUCGGGGUUCGAUUAAGCCAUGCGAGUUGAGAGGGUUAAGACCCUCGGCGGACUGCUCAGUAACACGUGGAUAACCUGCCCUAAGGUGGAGGAUAACCCCGGGAAACUGGGGAUAAUACUCCAUAGGUUAAAGGUACUGGAAUGUUCUUUAACCGAAAGUUCCGGCGCCUUAGGAUGGAUCUGCGGCCGAUUAGGUUGUUGUUGGGGUAGUGGCCCAACAAGCCUGUAAUCGGUACGGGUUGUGGGAGCAAGAGCCCGGAGAUGGAAUCUGAGACACGAUUCCAGGCCCUACGGGGCGCAGCAGGCGCGAAAACUUUACAAUGCAGGAAACUGUGAUAAGGGAACCCCGAGUGCCCGUAUAUGCGGGCUGUCCGGAUGUUUAAAACGCAUCCGAAGAAAGGGCCGGGCAAGACCGGUGCCAGCCGCCGCGGUAAUACCGGCGGCUCGAGUGGUGGCCACUUUUAUUGGGCUUAAAGCGUUCGUAGCUUGAAUAAUAAGUCUCUUGGGAAAUCUGCAGGCUUAACCUGCAGGUGUUUAAGAGAAACUGUUGUUCUAGGAACCGGAAGAGGUGAGAGGUACUCCGGGGGUAGGAGUGAAAUCCUGUAAUCCCCGGGGGACCCCCGAUGGCGAAGGCAUCUCACCAGGACGGCUUCGACAGUGAGGAACGAAAGCUGGGGGAGCGAACCGGAUUAGAUACCCGGGUAGUCCCAGCCGUAAACGAUGUGCGUUAGGUGUGCCGGUGACCACGAGUCACUGGGGUGCCGAAGGGAAACCGUGAAACGUACCGCCUGGGAAGUACGGUCGCAGGGCUGAGACUUAAAGGAAUUGGCGGGGGAGCACCAC